rnacentral:rRNA from 1 species
AACGAACGCUGGCGGCAUGCCUAACACAUGCAAGUCGAACGAGACCUUCGGGUCUAGUGGCGCACGGGUGCGUAACGCGUGGGAACCUGCCCUUAGGUUCGGAAUAACUCCCCGAAAGGGGUCCUAAUACCGGAUAAUCUCUUCGGACCAAAGAUUUAUCGCCUUUGGAUGGGCCCGCGUUGGAUUAGCUAGUUGGUAGGGUAAAAGCCUACCAAGGCGACGAUCCAUAGCUGGUCUGAGAGGAUGAUCAGCCACACUGGGACUGAGACACGGCCCAGACUCCUACGGGAGGCAGCAGUGGGGAAUAUUGGACAAUGGGCGAAAGCCUGAUCCAGCAAUGCCGCGUGAGUGAUGAAGGCCUUAGGGUUGUAAAGCUCUUUUACCCGGGAUGAUAAUGACAGUACCGGGAGAAUAAGCGCCGGCUAACUCCGUG